rnacentral:rRNA from 1 species
AACGAACGCUGGCGGCAUGUUUAACACAUGCAAGUCGAACGAGACCUUCGGGUCUAGUGGCGCACGGGUGCGUAACGCGUGGGAAUCUGCCCUUAGGUACGGAAUAACUCAGAGAAAUUUGUGCUAAUACCGUAUGAUGUCGAAAGACCAAAGAUUUAUCGCCUAAGGAUGAGCCCGCGUAAGAUUAGCUAGUUGGUAAGGUAAAAGCUUACCAAGGCGACGAUCUUUAGCUGGUCUGAGAGGAUGAUCAGCCACACUGGGACUGAGACACGGCCCAGACUCCUACGGGAGGCAGCAGUGGGGAAUAUUGGACAAUGGGCGAAAGCCUGAUCCAGCAAUGCCGCGUGAGUGAUGAAGGCCUUAGGGUUGUAAAGCUCUUUUACCAGGGAUGAUAAUGACAGUACCUGGAGAAUAA